GAUGAACGCUGGCGGCGUGCUUAACACAUGCAAGUCGAACGGAAAGGCUCCUGCUUGCAGGGGUACUCGAGUGGCGAACGGGUGAGUAACACGUGGGUGAUCUGCCCUGCACUUCGGGAUAAGCCUGGGAAACUGGGUCUAAUACCGGAUAGGACGAUGGUUUGGAUGCCAUUGUGGACAGUUUUUUCGGUGUGGGAUGAGCUCGCGGCCUAUCAGCUUGUUGGUGGGGUAAUGGCCUACCAAGGCGUUGACGGGUAUCCGGCCUGAGAGGGUGUACGGCCAGAUUGGGACGGAGAGAGGGCCCAGACUCCUACGGGAGGCAGCAGUGGGGAAGAUAGCACAAGGGGCGCAAGACUGAUGCAGGGACGCCGGGUGGGGGAAGACGGCCGUCGGGUUGUAAACUCCUUUCGCUAGGGACGAAGCGCAAGUGACGGUACCUGGAGAAGAAGCACCGGCUAACUACGU
rnacentral:rRNA from 1 species